GACGAACGCUGGCGGCGUGCCUAACACAUGCAAGUCGAGCGAGAGACUUCGGUCUCUAGCGGCGGACGGGUGAGUAACACGUGGGUAACCUGCCUCCUAGAGGGGGAUAGCCUCCCGAAAGGGAGAUUAAUACCGCAUAAUAUGUAUUGGUUGCAUGAUCAAGACAAUAAAGGAGAAAUCCGCUAUGAGAUGGACCCGCGGCGCAUUAGCUAGUUGGAUAGGUAACGGCUCACCAAGGCGACGAUACGUAGCCGACCUGAGAGGGUGAUCGACCGCAUUGGAACGGAGACACGACCCAGACUCCUACGGAAAGCAGCGGGGAGAAAUAGUGCACGAUGGGGAAACCCGGAUGCAGGAACGCCGCGUGAGUGAAGAAGGCCGUCGGGUUGUAAAACUCUGACAUUGUGGACGAUAAUGACGGUACCCAAUGAGGAAGCCACGGCUAACUACGUGCCAGCAACCGCCGUAAAAC
rnacentral:rRNA from 1 species